GUAAAAUACAUAUAAUAAGCAACACAGUAAAACUAGGGGUACACUGUAAAAAUUCAGAAGAAAGAAUAGGGGUACAGUGAAAAUUACCAUGAGAGAUUACAUAACUGAAUCAAUGUAAAUAAAUUGCAAAAAUCUGGGAAUAUACAUUGUAGCUACAAUGUAAACCAUCAUAAUUCUAGGGGAAAUUACACUUGAAUCAGGGGGCAUAGUCAGGAAUUACAUAGCAAAAUUACACAGUAAAACUACGGCACUGAAACUGCAUUAAUGAAUUACACUGAAACUGCAUAGUGAAUUACACAGUAAUUCUAUAGUAAAUUACACAGUAAAAAUACGGCAUGAUUUACACAGUAAUUCUACAUGGAAUUACCCUGGAACUACAUGAUGAAUUACACAAUAAUUCUAUAGUAAAUUACACUGAAACUACAUGAUGAAUUACACAGUAAAAAUGGGGCAAAAAUACACAGGACCUCGCUCAAUACUACCAUGCAAUUUUCAUAGUAAGUCUGAGGCAAAAAAUACUACUAAUUACAGAGUGAAAACAGGACCUCGCUCAAUACUACUGCAACAGAGACACUUCUCAUGAAAAGAAGAAAAUAAAAAUGCAAGAAACUACAUGAAGUACAGAGCUAAAAAGCAUGGAAAUCACACUGUAAAAAUGAGAGGUAAAUCAUCUAACAAAUGAUGUGUAAGACCUACAAAUUUACAGUACUGAAGCAUACAAAUUACAGUGUAAAUGUGCAGUAUAUUACAGUGUAAGCCCUACAUCAAACAGAGGUAAAAAUCCACUAUACUCAGUCCAAAAAAUACUAUGUAAAGAUACAACAUUUACAGUGCUGAAGCAUACAAAUUACAGUGUAAAUCUGUGGUAUAUUACAGUGUAAGCCCUACAGCAAUUCAGAGGUAAAUCAACAUCUGAUUACAGUUCUGAAGCAUAUAAAUUGCAGUGUUAAUCUGGGGUAGAUACAGUGAUGAAGCAUAGAAAUUACACUGUAAUUCUGGGGUAUACUAUAGUUGGUAAAUUACAGUGCAAUAUUAGGCAUAUUAUAGUGAAAAUUGUCCUAUAUUGUAGUGUAAAUCGCAGUUAAAUUCCAUAGUAAUUCAUGGAAAAUAAGAUGCAUGUCAAUUAACAUAAACAGAAACAUUUCAAUGGCAUUAGACUACUACUGGGAUGAUCUACUGGAAUAAAUAGAAACUAGAUUUGCAAUUUGCACACUAAAACUAUGUGGAUUACAAAGUAAGACUCAUGCAAAAAUACACAGUAAUUCUAAUGUAUGACACUAAAACUGUGGGCAUACACAUCAACACCCGGCACAAGGAAAAGAUACAAAACCUGCAUCACACACACACAGUUACCAUGGCAUUAAGAAGAAGGAACCUAAGUACAUCUAAACCAACACUAAGAGCGAUUAUCCACUCACAUGACAAAAGGGACCUACAACAGAGGGCAUAAUAGGAUCUAGAAACCAACACGGACAAAGGAGGCAACACCCAUCUACCAGCGAAAAAACAAAUCACCUACCAACGCAAAUCACAAACCCAAAACCACAAAAAAUCCCAUCUCAAAACCCUAUAACUGAUCCAUACAUUUAUCUGAAUCACAGAAACUGAACACGUUGAACCUACCACAAGCAGACGAGGAACAAAAAUGCGGACAUCACGAAGUGGAUGAAUAACGACAGCGGGAGAACGCGUACCGAAAUGAACCACUAAAACUACAAGCACCUACCAUGAAUCUACAACAACACGGCCCCGGAUCACAACACGCACCUACCACGAACCCUAACAAAAUCACAUCAGCAACUGACCCCUAGAUCUCGAAGCUACACACCGAGAAAUGAACAAAAUCACGCGCUCGAGAGAGAAAUUGGGAGACCAACCAACCGCAGGAGGCGAGAAUCAAAGGGAAAUGAGAGAGAAAUCAAGCUCCACGGGUGGGGGAUCUGGGAAUCGACAUGAACAGAAAGGAAUUGCCUCCAUCGCCCGAGCGCCUAUUCCUCCCUUUGCCUCGCUAUCUCCUCUCUCCCUUAUCGCUACAGUACCUCUAAA
rnacentral:lncRNA from 1 species